rnacentral:rRNA from 1 species
AGAGUUUGAUCCUGGCUCAGGAUGAACGCUGGCGGCAUGCCUAAUACAUGCAAGUCGAACGGAGAAGCCUAACAGAAGAUGCUUGCAUCGGAAGAUAGAUACUUCUCAGUGGCGAACGGGUGAGUAACACGUAGGUAACCUGCCCAUGUGCCCGGGAUAAUUUCUGGAAACGGAAACUAAAACCGGAUAGGUAAUAGAGAAGCAUUUCUAUAUUAUUAAAGAAGCCUCAAAGCUUUGAACAUGGAUGGACCUGCGGUGCAUUAGCUAGUUGGUAAGGUAACGGCCUACCAAGGCGACGAUGCAUAGCCGACCUGAGAGGGCGAACGGCCACAUUGGGACUGAGACACGGCCCAAACUCCUACGGGAGGCAGCAGUAGGGAAUUUUCGUCAAUGGGGGGAACCCUGAACGAGCAAUGCCGCGUGAGUGAAGACGGUCUUCGGAUUGUAAAGCUCUGUUGUGAGAGAAAAAGGAUAUAUAUAGGAAAUGAUAUGUAUUUGAUGGUAUCUCACCAGAAAGUCACGGCUAACUACGUGCCAGCAGCCGCGGUAAUACGUAGGUGGCGAGCGUUAUCCGGAAUGAUUGGGCGUAAAGGGUACGUAGGCGGCAUGAUAAGUCUGGAGUGAAAGGCUACAGCUCAACUGUAGUAUGCUCUGGAAACUGUCAAGCUAGAGUGCAGAAGAGGGCAAUGGAACUCCAUGUGUAGCGGUAAAAUGCGUAGAUAUAUGGAAGAACACCGGUGGCGAAGGCGGUUGCCUGGUCUGAAACUGACGCUGAAGUACGAAAGCGUGGGGAGCAAAUAGGAUUAGAUACCCUAGUAGUCCACGCCGUAAACGAUGAGAACUAGGUGUUGGGGGAAUAACUCAGUGCCGCAGUUAACGCAAUAAGUUCUCCGCCUGGGGAGUAUGCACGCAAGUGUGAAACUCAAAGGAAUUGACGGGGGCCCGCACAAGCGGUGGAGUAUGUGGUUUAAUUCGAAGCAACGCGAAGAACCUUACCAGGCCUUGACAUCCCUUGCAGAGAUAUAGAGAUAUAUCCGAGGUUAUCAAGGAGACAGGUGGUGCAUGGUUGUCGUCAGCUCGUGUCGUGAGAUGUUGGGUUAAGU